AGCUUUGCGCAGUGGCGGUACCAUAGCCAAUGAGGUUUAUCCGAGGCGUGGUUAUUGCUUACCUGUCUCUGAGCCACCCCCUUAGCCCCUGUACAGAGAUAAAUAUUAUAUCAAAUUCAGAAGUUUGUUUACAAA